rnacentral:rRNA from 1 species
UACGUAGGCAGCGAGCGUUGUUCGGAAUUACUGGGCGUAAAGAGUGUGUAGGCGGUGCUCAAAGUUCGGUGUGAAAUCUCCCGGCUUAACUGGGAGGGUGCGCCGGAAACUGGAGUGCUCGAGCGUGGGAGAGGAAAGCGGAAUUCCUGGUGUAGCGGUGAAAUGCGUAGAUAUCAGGAGGAACACCUGCGGUGUAGACGGCUUUCUGGACCAUUGCUGACGCUGAGACACGAAAGCGUGGGUAGCAAACAGG